rnacentral:ncRNA from 1 species
CCGCUAGAGGUGAAAUUCUUGGAUUGGCCGAAGACAAACUACUGCGAAAGCAUUUGACCCAGGACGUUUUCAUUGAUCAGGGACUAAAGUUGAGGGAUCGAAGACGAUUAGAUACCGUCGUAGUCUUAACCACAAACUAUGCCGACUAGCGAUUGGGCCUUGACCUUUGGUCAGGUUCAGCAGCUUAGCGAAAGUAAAGUCUUUGGGUUCUGGGGGGAG